rnacentral:tRNA from 2 species
GCGGGCGUCGUUCAAUGGUAGGACCUGAGCUUCCCAAGCUCAUGACGUGGGUUCGAUCCCCAUCGCCCGCUCCA